UAGUCUGGGAUACCACUUGGAAACAGGUGCUAAUACCGGAUAAGAAAGCGGAUCGCAUGAUCAGCUUUUAAAAGGCGGCGUAAGCUGUCGCUAUGGGAUGGCCCGCGGUGCAUUAGCUAGUUGGUAAGGUAAAGGCUUACCAAGGCGAUGAUGCAUAGCCGAGUUGAGAGACUGAUCGGCCACAUUGGGACUGAGACACGGCCCAAACUCCUACGGGAGGCAGCAGGC
rnacentral:rRNA from 1 species